rnacentral:lncRNA from 1 species
ACACACUUCAAUUUCUUCCUUUGAGUUUAGCACUUCCUUCACUCUUCUACCUUCCUGAGUAGUAAUACAUUCCUUAAGUAAUUUUUUUCAUUAAAGACAUACACAAAUUACAAGUAUAUAACAAUAUAUAAAAGAAAACUAAAAAAAAUGAGAGGAUAAUCAAGUGCUUUAAAAUCUGGUUUGGACUAACAGGUUCAAUUGGUUAGGUGGGGACUGACAACUAUAUUAGUGUGAGCCCACAUACUGGAUCAAGAAUACUUGGUUAGACUUCAAAAUGAUGAAUUCAAUCUCCAUGAAUGUUACACAAAAAAAAUGAGAAAAAAAAUUAAGAAAGAAAAAGUAAGACAACAAAAUUAAAAUGAAGAUGAUAUAAGAAAUGAAGAGAAAUUUAAUAAGAAACCAAAUUGAGAUGAAUUUGAUGUUAAGAUGUUGUGAGUGAGAGAGGAAAAGAUGAAGUGAAUGAUGCAUAGAUAGAUAAAUUGGGAAUGAAGAAGAGGGAAAUAACAAUUGAGGGUUGUGAUUAAGAGAGGAAAAGAUGAAGUGAAU